rnacentral:lncRNA from 1 species
GUGAGAAAGGCCUCUGAGAACUGGAACUCACGUUGGGCCUCAACUACAGAGGGAAGAAGAGGAGGGACACCAGAAGUAGCAUGAACAGUAUGUAUAAAGGUCUAAGAACAGGAAGUAAGCCUGUUCUGCCCAAAAUAGAGAGCCAGGAAAUGGUAUGGGCACACGGUGCUCCCAGGGGGCUGUAACUGACUGUGUAGCCUGCCUUUCCUCCUGUGGGAAGCUCUCUUGAGAGCACUUCAGGAUGCAAGACAUCGGGCAACCAAGCAGCUGUGCUUCACAGUUGGACCACACCAAGCUUCUGCCUAUGCAGCCAAUACUAUCAGGGCAGCCCCACCAUCCACCAAGCGCCCUCAGUGAUCUACUGGUGCCACAUCAGGCCCCACCUCUCCACAUCUCCACACUGGAGCCCAAGCUUCCAAUGCCUUGGAAGACUCACUAAAACAAUAUCCAAACCAUGGCAUAUCUCUAGAAAAAUCUCUUCUUGUGGGCUGUGCCAUCAAUUGACUACCUAAGAGAAGUAGGACUUGCUUUCUGUUUCACCUAAAAGCCCCAUUCUUCACUCCACUGGAGACCCUUUUUCUGGAAUUCACGUGUCCUCCCUGGUCAGUAGCAAAGAUCAAACGCCGAAUCAUCAGCCAGUCCUUCUAUAUAAACAAACUAAGGCCCUGAGACAGAAAUGGCAUGGAGUACUACACAGUAAUUGAUGUUAUAAUCAGGAAAAGCAUUACAGGGAGGGGACAGCAAAUUUCCCGUGAAAAGGAGAUGGCUGGGUUGCUGACACAGGCUACAUCAUUGCAGAACCCUGAGAGCAGGGAAGAUGCAGACAGAAUCUGAAUCAUCCAACAUGAUGGUUAUAUUUCCUACCUCUCCCUCUCCCAUCCCUCUUCUUGAGGAAUUCAGGAGUCACACACAGAACUUCUCAUUUGGUGUCUCACAAUCAAGCCAGGGUCUCAGGUCAGAAGGAAUCAUAGUGGCUCCAGUGACACCCUGCUCAGCAGCUCUGGGCCCUCAGGCACCUUCCCAUCCCCAAGAUGCUUGGUGUCUGUAAGAAGCUUUCAGACCACAGUUAAAGGAACGGAGUAUGGAGCCUGUCCUUCAGAAAAUCAACUCGUGGAAGUAACCAAAGUUCCUGUGGGUAUUGGCUGCAAAAGUGGGUCACUAUGCAGUGGGUGGCUAAAAAAAGGAAAGAUCCAUUUCAGGAACCUAGAGUCGGUUGUUGCUUUGGAACUGAAUAUCUCCUGGGGAAGACCUGGAAAACUCACGCAGGCUGAUGGGGCCAUAGGACUCCAUACAUGAACUAAUCAGCCAAAAACAAACAAACAAAAAACAAACCUGGCAGAAAUCAAGAAAGCCUGAAAGACCCCUCUACCUACCCUACUACCAUGGCCUCCACUGAGUUUUUGCCUGGAGCCAUGCCUGAGAGCCAAGGCUGGAAGUGUUUGAGAUGGGCAUGAUGGAACUGUAUGGACUUCUGUUUUCUGGGUUGCUUCCUUCCAAACUGCUCCAUUUCCCAUGAAGUGGGACACACCAUGGAGAGCUAACACUAAGUUCCAAGAAAGACAAUAUGUGACUCAUAGGAGGAAGGAUGUACUCUUGGGCCCUUCUCUCUAAGAGGUAUUUAGAGAUAGAACCCAGCAAGUAAGACCCAUGUUAUCCUCUCAAUAGAACUAAUCAUCAGCCUUAUAAAGUCUUGUUAUCUGCCAUGGCUUGAUUAUGAGACCCACAUUUUGGAUGCUUGGUCCCAACCUGGUGGUACUAUUUUGGAAGGUUCUCAAGAUUUUGAGAGGGGGAAGAAGUGGGCCACUUCCUAGGGAGGUGGGUCUUAGUGGUCUAUCAUCCCUAGCCUGUCUUGCACUCUGAAUAGCCAUUCUCCACCAUGCUUUCAUGCCUUCUUUUCAACUGCAUGGGGUCCAAGCAACCAUAGAAUUAGCAUUCUGAAUCUGUGAGCCAGAGCAUAUUUUUUCCUCCCUUAAAUUAUUUUUUGGCUGUCAUGACACAAAACCAACCACCGUGGUUUGAUGGAAAAUAUCCUCCAUAGGUUCAUGAAUUUGAACAAUUGGUUGCCAGUUGGUGGCGCUGUUUGGAGAGGCUGUAAAGCCUUUAGGAGAUGGAGCCUUGAAGGAGGAAGUCAGUCACUGAAGCAGGCUCCGGGAGUUCCUAUCCUUGGCCCACUUCAGUUCCGUUUCUUCUUUCUGUUAGCUGUUCUUCAAUGUGUGAUAGAUAUCCAAGAUGUGCAAGCUAAGCUUCAUGUUCCAGCCACCAACUGCCAUGCCUCUGCUGCCAUUACAGACUCCUACCCCUGGAACUGUAGCCAAAAUAAACACCUCCAUAAUUUGCUCCUGGCCACAGUAUUUUAUUACAGCAACAGAAAAGCAAUUAAGACAGUAAAUAAAAAUAAAAAAGUAUAAAUAAAAAAAAACUGGAUCUAAAAGUGGAGUUAUUAUAACCACACCUAACAUUGCAGUUUUUAAGCCUUUGGAAUUAGUUUUCCAAAAACUCUU